UCUUUGGGGUUUUACGGCAAGCCCAGGUAGGCGUAAGCAGUCUAUCUGUUCUUUCUUUGGUGUAUGUAAUAAUCUGCUUAGCCAAACUCUCUUGUAUUUUGUAAUUAUAAUGUGUGUGUAUUCAUUGAUUAUACAGUAUAACUAAGGUUUUCUAGCAUGUGUUCACUGCAGUUGGGAAUUAUCUAGGGCAAACACAAAAAACUGGCAAACUGUAGCAUUGUGGAGUAAAGAGAAAUCCUGCAGUAGAACAACUUGCAAGCAGAGGCAUCUAAGCAGAGAACUAAUUGCUUAAUAGUAUAUUUUUAUCGUUUGUUUUCUUGAGAGCAAGAAGGCAAAAUGGAAGUCAAGAAGUAAGAAUGGACAUCAUGAAAGCAUCAGUGUGUCGCUCAUUACAAGAUGAAGAAAAUCCAGCAGAACUGUGUGGAGCACUGAGGGCAUAGCAAAAUAAUGGAUCGUCAGUACCAGAUGAUGUGUGAGGUUAAGCUGGCUGAAGAUCAGAUUUGGCUGCUAUGGAUGUUCUAAGUGCAUCUGCAGAGGAAGCUUAAUCUUUCCCAUCCCAGAUGGCUGUCUUGAAAGGGUAUGGAUUGCUAUCCUUAAUCACUCCUUUCUCUUUGCUGCAUAUAUUGGGAAUGUAAAUACUAACUUAAGAUAAUACGUCUAAUUUUUGGAUGGCUGAUUCUAGAGAGCAGAAAUUCUAUUUUAAGGAGGCACACAAAUCCUUCCAUGCAGUACUGUACUUUCUAGGAAGAUAACAAUUUAACUGCUGUGUCCUGUACUCUUGGUGUAUUUGUUUGGUGCUGGGGGUGUACUGGUCCAUUAGGAUCCUGGGAUGAAAGGCACUCAGAGUCUGUAAGGUACCAUUUGACCUGCUGUUUAUUAGAUCAAAUGCUAUAAGGACAGAAUAAUAAAUAACUGAUGUCCCUUUAGAUGCUAAGAACC
rnacentral:lncRNA from 1 species